AUACGUAGGUGGCAAGCGUUGUCCGGAAUUAUUGGGCGUAAAGCGCAUGUAGGCGGCGGUUUAAGUCUGUCGUGAAACUGCGGGGCUCAGCCCCGUAUGGCGAUGGAAACUGGGUCGCUUGAGUGCAGGAGAGGAAAGGGGAACUCCCAGUGUAGCGGUGAAAUGCGUAGAUAUUGGGAAGAACACCGGUGGCGAAGGCGCCUUUCUGGACUGUGUCUGACGCUGAGAUGCGAAAGCCAGGGUAGCGAACGGGAUUAGAUACCCCGGUAGUCCUGGCCGUAAACGAUGGGUACUAGGUGUGGGAGGUAUCGACCCCUUCCGUGCCGGAGUUAACGCAAUAAGUACCCCGCCUGGGGAGUACGGCCGCAAGGCUUAAACUCAAAGGAAUUGACGGGG
rnacentral:rRNA from 1 species